rnacentral:rRNA from 1 species
GACGAACGCUGGCGGCGUGCUUAACACAUGCAAGUCGAACGGAAAGGCCCUGCUUUUGUGGGGUGCUCGAGUGGCGAACGGGUGAGUAACACGUGAGUAACCUGCCCUUGACUUUGGGAUAACUUCAGGAAACUGGGGCUAAUACCGGAUAGGAGCUCCUGCUGCAUGGUGGGGGUUGGAAAGUUUCGGCGGUUGGGGAUGGACUCGCGGCUUAUCAGCUUGUUGGUGGGGUAGUGGCUUACCAAGGCUUUGACGGGUAGCCGGCCUGAGGGGGUGACCGGCCUCAUUGGGACUGGGAUACGGCCCAGACUCCUACGGGAGGCAGCGGUGGGGAAUAUUGCACAAUGGGCGGAAGCCUGAUGCAGCAACGCCGCGUGCGGGAUGACGGCCUUCGGGUUGUAAACCGCUUUCGCCUGUGACGAAGCGUGAGUGACGGUAAUGGGUAAAGAAGCACCGGCUAACUACGUG